AAUUUAUGGAUUAUUAUUCGUAAGAAUGAUAGUGGUAGACGAGCGUUGUAUAUGGGAUGAAGUCAAACCGUGAGGAUUGGUGGACUGUAUACAAGUGAGAAUGCCGGUGUAAGUAACGCUUGAGAGUGAGAAUCUCUCAAACCGAUUGACUAAGGUUUCCUGGACGAGGGUCGUCCUUCCAGGGUUAGUCUGGACCUAAGGCGAGGCAGAAAUGCGUAGUCGAUGGAAGAACAGGUUAAUAUUCCUGUACAAACAAAUAGCUGAUGGAGUGACGGAGAAGGUUAAUGCAUCCCCAUUAUCGAUUUGGGCGUUAAAUAAGAAGUCUUAAGGGUUGGCAAAUCCGCCUUUUUUAAGGCACAACUUAUGAAUACGAGUGAACGCUUUGCA
rnacentral:rRNA from 1 species